AGAGGAACCUAAUGAUCUAUUAAGAAGUUGGAAAAGAACAUUGAGGUAUGGGACACUUGCAGAUGAAGGACAUAAAACCUUGAAGAUGAAAGCAAUUGCGCAAAGAGGUAUACAAGUUCCAGGUCCAUUGCACAAAAUCUGCAGAGAGUACAAAUAACAGAACCAACAAAGCAAAAGGGUAAGAGGAGAAAAAGCCAGGACUUCACCAGUAGUUUAUAGAGAGAGUGUCGUGUAUAAGGUAUAUGAAAUACCACAUGAGGUCUAAUCUUUAUCAUUAGCCACAAUGCAUGAGCCAAAGCGAUUAAGGUGGUUCCAACAGAGGUUAUAUAUGAUUGACCGACGUCUCGACUUCGGUAUAUCUGCAUGAAUUUAGCAGAUCCAACCUCUUCAACUCCUCCCUAAAACAAGAGAAAGCAGUUAAAGAAUACCUUCAUUGGUUCUUCUUCUACUAGACAGCCUAAGUAGGGGAAGAAAUCUCCAUAGCACAUAAACAAACUAAAAGAACCCAUCAAAAGUAGCCCAACUCUCACGUACAAACUUAAUGCGUUCAUUAAAUGAAGAAGAUAUGUUGGGUGUUUCAUCCCAUGAAGACACAAGAAUUAACAGAAACAUGUAAUUUUCUCUUAUUAACUACCGAAUCUAAACUAAGCACACUAGAAAGUGUCGUAUAUCAAAAGUUGGAUGUAGAUAGAUUUGACCCAACUACUAAGAAACAGGAACAAAGAUAGUGCAUUUGGACCUUUGAGACAAACAGAGUUUUCAAGGUUAUAAGAAAAUCAUUUUAAAAACAAAGCAACCUGCAUGUAUAGUUGCAAUUCUUGUGGAAACCAAACCUUUAUACUUGGAUUUUGGAGUAAGGAGGUUGAUUCUGAUGACUAACUGUUAAAUACUGAAAAGAGGCUGUCAUUUAUCACAUGAAUGAUCCAAACAGAUGUUUAUAUGUCCAAUCCGUUCCUUUUCAUAAGCUUUACUGGAUCACUGAUGUAAAAUUAAUGAUUCAUCCGAUUAUCUUUUGUCAAUAACAAUAGAUGAAUAAUUCUCUAAGCUAAUAAAUAGUUCAAUCUAAUAUAGAUCAAUACAACGAUUCACAUCCUAGAUUAGUUGUCCACAGAAUACAGUCCUACUAAUAAAGAUAAAUUCAGUAAUCAAGAACUCAACAGGACAAAACGGAACAAAAUACCUCAUUGAGCCAAGAGCUUUCAAGAACUUGUGCCUUUUGAAGGCUCAUGUUAUCAGUCGCAGCGGCAAUAUAAUACCUAGGCGUAAAACUAUUUUUCUGAAGCACGUUCAACAAAUUAAUCAUCUCCGCUGUAUGACCACCUACCAUCACAAAUUCAUUGCAAGCAAAAAAUAUAUAAACAAACCCAUUAAUAAAAAUGGAAAAAUCAACAAAACCCACAAUCCAAAACUCAAAAAUAGAUCAAAUAAUAAAGGAUAUGCAUACCCGAACCCAGAACAAUGAGGGUGCUGAGGGGCUUUUGCUGUGACGAGGCACUACGAGGUUGGCUGCUCCGAUGUAUAAUGUAUAAAACCCGGAUCAAGAUCAAGGUAAUAAACCCAAUAAUUGAUAAAAGUACUAAGCUUGAAGGUGUGAUUGAGAGACAAUAAUUGUUGCUAUUCUCCAUAGUUACCGUUUACCCUACAUCACACUGAAAUUAGCUAAAGAAUCAGCUACUAAAACUAGGGGAAAUUUGUUUAAUUGAAAAAUAACAGAUCAAGUAGGUUGAGCAGGGUUGACGAGAGAAUUGUCAGGAUAGUUAGCCAGAGACGACGUGACGGGGGAAUUGAGGGGAAAGGUCAAGUGAGUGCAAGUCUAAAACGUCCCGAAUACACCAAGGUGAGGAUAUUUCUUGGAUCGCCUUGACCUUGCCAGGAUUGGCCUCUAUGCCCCGUUGUGAAACAAGGUAUCCUAAGAACUUUCCCGAAAUGACCCCAAAAAUACAUUUUUUGGGGUUCAGCAUCAUGCGGGUAGCACGGAUUACCUCAAGGGCCUCUCUUAGGUUGGCCAAAAAGGUGGAGGUCUUCAAGCUCUUGAGGAGGAUGUAUCAAGAUGAUUUGACUGGUCCCUGAAAAGGCGUGUAAGGGCAGUUGUCAGAGUCAGGCGGCGCCUGUGUUGGAGCAGCUUUCUGUCAGGCGUCCUGUGCGUCAGAGGAAUAUCCCCAGUUUUACAACCUAUUUCUAUUUUCCAUGCUCACAUUGCCUUUUCCUUCAUCUCUUACAAUGUUAUACCAAAUUAAGAUGUUUUGGUAUAUAAAGCGGUUGUAGAAAGAAGAACUAAGGGCUAAAAAGUAUGCGUCAGUGUACUUGCUGUCCGUUGAUGGAACCCCAAGGUAGUUGCUGUCAACUUCCCCUGCCACAUUAAGUAAUAUUCACCGUUGAGUACAAGGAACAGCUAAAACUGAGCUAAUUUUUUUCUCCCUGCAAAUUGUACAUUUUAUCAUAGAACCAUCUCCAUCAAAUACACAGUAAGUCAAGUCAUCCUCCCAGAUGAUUGGCGCACAAGUCAUAGCCCAAGUUUCAUGAAACCGAAUUUCAGAAAAAAGAAAUGCAUUAGACCACUAGUGAUGAGCAUUCUUAUCAAUUUGCUGAUGAAUUCCAGAACAAGUGUGUCCUAGAAAGAAAUUAAAUAACAAGAUGGAAAAGGAUAUGGUGUAAACAAAAAGGAAAGGAGAGAUCCAUUCAGGAUAUCUCAUCAAAUCAGAAAAAGUUUGAACUUAAACGUCAAAUUAACAACCCCCCUCCCCAAAAAAAAAAAAAAACCCCCCGAACCCGGAAAAAUUUUAAAAGAGGCAAAAAAAUCGCAUUAGAUUCAUUGUAACUGAUAAUGGACCAUUUUAUGCAACUUUUUCAUCAAUUUAUUGUGCUUGUGACCAGGAAAACUUGGCUUUGUUCAAGCAUUAAGUCCUAAAAUAAGUUAAGAAGAUUUAAUCAAGACACUAGUCAUGUUCUACCAAAAAUGGAAAUGAAAUUAGUCAAAAAGGCAGUUUCACUCUGACUAACCGGCAGAGUAUAGGAUAUAUAAUUACAGGGCCAGUUUUAUAAAGCAUCAUUCAGAAUUAGUUUAACAAUUUUCCAGUCUAUAUACAUUAUGUCUCGAUGCUACAACGUCAGAACCAUCAAAUAUAAAACUGUGCAGUUUGUCAUUCUUUCUGUUGGGUGGUGAGUUAGAAUCUGGAUAGUAUCUAAUCAAGCCUCGUAGACAAGCCUCUCCAUGCAAUAAUCACAUAGUAAAAUGUGCUUUGAGAUAGAACUUAAUUUCUACGCUAAUGUUAACAUGCUAUUCCUUUGUGGUGUGAAAGCAUUUCUAAAUAAUUAGCCAAUGCUGACUAAUUUUCAUAGAUUGCACCCAAAGACAACCAUGGUUUCAUAAAAUUAAAGAGACACCUGUCAGAAGGGCUACUAUAAACCACACAUAUAUGACAAUAACUUGAAAUUUAUACAUUGAAGUACCUUUGAACAGCUGCAAAAAAUGAAUGAGUUACAUAAGACGCCCAACAUAAUGAGCUCGAUGAUAUUUUGAUUUUAGUUGGGGCCACUGCACAAAUAACUGACCAGCCAUGCGUAGUUUGUAAAGAAACAGUGCGUGUGACAACCCCACCUCCCCCUAAGGCGAACCAAAGGGUUCGGCGGACCGCCUGCCCAACUCUCGCCGGGACUCAGUCGAUCACUUCCAUCCUCGAGCAAAAACCAGAUCAAGCCCAUACGAAAAACAUAGCAAUGAUCCAAAAACUUAAACGAAACUUAUAUACCUUACGAUCUCAAAAGGAAGUACAACCGUCGAAUAUACAAAGGUUCCAAAUUCACCAUACAACCAGCCCGUGCCAAGCACUAGUGCGAGAACCAUUACAAAAAUCAAAAGCUAGACCAGCUAGUCUAUACAGAGCUCUCGUCCUUGCUCGCCUUCCCCUGCUAAGGAAAACAAAACUAAAGGGAUGAGCUAAAAGGGAUCACGCCCCUGACCAAUAUUGUCCCACAGUUAACCGCCCCAUUGGGCCGUGGAUUUUGUUCCUGGAGGUGGGGUUAUAGCCCACAACAAAUGAAGAGCCCAAACCCGCAGGUCAAGAAACCCAGCACCCCUCCAAAAGGCCUCGGUCAGGUGGGAGAGACCACUACAGGCUAUUAAAGCAGCCCCAGGACUUCCUCCCUAGCCGAUGUGGGAUCAUUACAAUCCACCCCCCUUAGGGAACCCAGCGUCCUCGCUGGCACACCAGGGUCGGGAGUCGGCUCUGAUACCAACUUUAACGCCCCUGACCAAUAUUGUCCCACAGUUAACCGCCCCACUGGGCCAUGGAUUUUGUUCCUGGAGGUGGGGUUAUAGCCCACAACAAGUGAAGAGUCCAAGUCCGCAGGUCAAGAAACCCAGCACCCCUCGAAAAGGCCUCGGUCAGGUGGGAGAGACCACUACAGGCUAUUAAAGCAGUCCUAGAACUUCCUCCCUAGCCGAUGUGGGAUCAUUACAAUCCACCCCCCUUAGGGAACCCAGCGUCCUCGCUGGCACACCGGGGUCGGGAGUCGGCUCUGAUACCAACUCUAACGCCCUUGACCAAUAUUGUUCCACAGUUAACCGCCCCACUGGGCCGUGGAUUUUGUUCCUGGUGGUGGGACAAAAGGUUCACUUUCUGCAUUUUGGCAGGGACUAUCGAUUCAUUUGGUUCCCCAGUCACACUACCAGGUGUACUCCUUUUUCGAUUUUGAGAGGCCUUUAUCUGUGUUUUGGCAUUCUCAAUUCGUUGGGCUUUCUCCAAAGCCUCCGUAAAGGUAUUCACUUGCGCCGCCGCUAACGCCUCCUGGAUGUCCAAGUUCAAUCCCUGUAUGAACCGCCUUACUCUUCUUGGUUCCGUGGCUACUAAUUCGGAAGCAAACUUGGAUAGUUUGGUAAAUUUUGUUUCGUAUUCAUCCACACUUAAGGUCUCCUGGUGUAGUCCAAUAAAUUCAAGAUAUAAAUAUAAGAUAAAGCGAUAAACACAUUCAAUAAAAGGAUACGAGCUCAUAAGGAGCCAUUCAUUCAUUCGUUCGUUCAUUCAUUCUCCUUUCAUUCCCUUAUUCCUCCGAUCAUUUAAAAUUUGCAUUUUUGUAAGUAAAACCCCCAAUCAUUCAUUCGUUCAUUCAUUUCAUUCACCCCCUCUUGGAAAUUGGCCAGGCUCCACCAACCUACAAGGUAAUACUCGAGUAUACCGAAACGUUCACCCAAGUCCCUAAUCGUCCGACCGAGUCCACUUCUGACUCGAGACGACCGGUAACAAGGGGCAGUGGCCAGUUCAGUCAAAAGGCUUACAUUCAUGCACAACUAGCAUUUUAAUCGUUCAUUCAUUAAAAUUUCACAACCAUUUAGGCUGAGUGCGAUAAAGUACACACUCGCCUCAAAACUCGCUUUAACAAUCAUUGAAAGCAUUUAACAUGUUAUCAAUCAAUAAUCAAUAAGCUAAAAGGUCAAGGAAAUAUAACAAACAAGGAACACUCACCAAGAAAACCUAACGUGCAAAAUUAUCCUUCUGGAUAGUAUCUUUAAUCACCAAGAAAACCUAAAAUUCAACAAGAAAGAAUAUAGCACAACCAAUUAGGGGAAAUCGAAGAAACCCAAUAACUGAUGAGUAAAACGCAAUAAAAUGACUUUAAAGCAAAACGGGGCAUUUAGACUGAUGGACGGAAAUAUCUAGGGUUUCAUAAACCCAAACGCAAAACCAAACAAAAAGGGUUAUAAAAUUUUCCGGCAAAAACAUUUGGACCAAAGACAAGUCGGCAUCCAAUGAGAUAGGCGAGAAAUAUUGUUUUCGGAAUCAUUUAUGUGGUUCAAAAUCAAUAUACAUUCAAGUAGGUAUUAUGGCCUACAUGUCUUGACUGAGAAAACCUUAGGUCAUACCUCUAAAUUUUGGUAUGAAGUAGUAAAUAAACAUUUGAAGGUCAAAUGGAAAAGAAAUCAUAUUUUAAGAUGGAAACCCGGUCAUGGUAUUUGUCAAACGAAAAAUAUACAAGUUCAAAUCGACACUUAGCCCUCGAGCCAAAAUUUGGGCAGCACGCCCUUUGUAUUUACCUAUUUUCCAGCUAUUUAUGGCUUCAUUAUUUUCCUCAUUCAAACCCAAGGGUACACACGCAACAAUCUAAGUUCAAUAGCCGUUCAGUAAGCUCCAAGUAGCACAAGUAUAAUUCAAACUAAGGAAAAGUCCGGAAAUGAAAGUUAAGCUCUAAAAUAUUCAAAUAAGCACAAUAAGACUCGAUUGUAAGUCAUAAACCAAUUCCACAUACUACCAAAAUAGGGUUCCAUAAGCAUAUAUAAGCAUUAGAGGAAACCAGAAAAAUCCGGAAAAGAUUUAGCUUUAACCCUGAAAAAAAAACAGUGUUUGACGUCAUAUUGCGGUUUUGAUACCAAUUUCACUACAAAUAUCGGAUGAGGGUACAAGACCCACCGUUUCGAAACUAAAAGACAGGGCUACAACAUUGAAGAAGGUCACUCAGCACAGUUUCGAGUAUAACAAGGUCAAAAAUACCACAGACUAUACCAGAAUCGUAAAAACAGGUUUACAAAACGCAUUCCGGCGUAAACAUCAUAAAUCAGGGUACCGAAGUCCAAAUCCUGAAAUUCCAAAGCCACUGGAAAGCUUAGAAACAGGGUUACAUUUCAUCAGAAGACCUGAACAACCAAUUCGGAUGCAUUCCUAACCAAAUCAACCAAUUACAGACGCAAAUUUCCAAUGCUGGGUAAACCAGGACAGUAAGGGUAAUUUUGACUUUUCACAAGCUACGCUACUCCGAUUGACCUGAAAUUUUGUAGACACCUCUAAAAUGUCAUUCCCUACAACUUUCAUGUUUUAAACCAAGGCCAAUUCGGCCUCUAACAUGGUUCAAUAAAACCGGACAGAAUGAAGAACAAAGAAACCCUAACUUUCUAAUUUCUUUCCAAAACAGAAAUUGCUUGCAAUUAACCACCAUUUACACCUCCUAACUUCAUUCUAGAUCAUUUCCAAUCAUCAUACAUAGCCACACCAUAACAAUUAUAUGAAAACAGCAAAACCCCAAUUAAAUAUAAAGCUUCACCAAUUUCAACCAAAAUCAGGAAAUUAACCAUAGAAUCACUUAUUCAACCACCACCAAUCACUAAUUGAACAUUAUCAAGAUCAAAGGAAAGGUUCCUUAGUCACUUACUUUGCAAACCCAAGGAAAGACUCAACUUAGCACCUUUGCUUCUCAAACCACUUCACCACACACCUUAAUACUACCAAGAGAAAGGUUUUUAUGGAGCAAAUCACGGUUUUAACGAUUGGUUUGUGAGAUUGGGCAAGAAAUAGAAGGAAGAAAUUGGAAGCUUUUCUCUCUCUUUUUCUCCAAGAGGUUCGGCCAAGGAGCUUGUGAAGAAGAUGAAUUUUGGGUCAAGUUUUUAAUCAAUUAGUAAAGGUAGUAAAAUGGUCAAAGUCCACCCUUGAGUAAGAAAGUGACACUUGUCACUUCAUUUAAUACAUGGUUAUCCUUUUGUCCAACCCACCAUGGACAAUAGGAGCGUUGGAUGAACGAUCUACAAAAGGAAGUCAAGCAGGCUAUUAUCAAAAAAGCCAACGAGUGGCUUCUUCCUUGACUUGUGGCUACUGUGGAAAAGCCAAUCACACUGAGGAUGAUUGUUGGCGAAAAGGGCGGAAAUGUUUGAUUUGCGGAGGUGGGGAUCAUCAAGUGAGCAACUGUCCGAGGAGACAGUCACGGGAAGGUAGUACUCCGCAACCGGAUGGAGCCAAAGUGAAACAAGUGAACGAAAGAGGGAAACGAACAAGUGUAUCGGCAAAGGCUUAUGCAUUAGACAACCAACAAGCUCCUGAGCCAUCUGAAAGUAAAAUUUCGAGGACGAAAUUUCCUUAAGCGAGACAGAGUGUGAGAGCCCGUAAUUUUCUUAAGUACUAGGUUUUAUUUUUCUUUUAAUUGCACGUUUUUCCACAUUUUAUUGAUUUGAAAAAUUGUGAAAAUAUUUUUUAUGAGUAAAUAUAGUUUUUAGAUGAUUUUUCUAGUAUCGAAUAGUUUUUGAGAAAUUAAGAGUGUAUACCGGACGUGGGACCCGCUAGUGCGAAAAGUUCGAAAAAAUUCGACCAACUAGGUUAAGUUUUGGAUACUGGGUUUAAUACAUAUGGGGCAGUUAACUGUGGGACAAUAUUGGUCAGGGGCGUUAGAGUUGGUAUCAGAGCCGACUCCCGACCCCGGUGUGCCAGCGAGGACGCUGGGUUCCCUAAGAGGGGUGGAUUGUAAUGAUCCCACAUCGGCUAGGGAGGAAGUCCUGGGGCUGUUUUAAUAGCCUGUAGUGGUCUCUCCCACCUGACCGAGGCCUUUUGGAGGGGUGCUGGGCUUCUUGACCUGCGAGCUUGGGCUCUUCACUUGUUGUGGGUUAUAACCCCACCUCCAGGAACAAAAUCCACGGCCCAAUGGGGCGGUUAACUGUGGGACAAUAUUGGUCAGGGGCGUUAGAGUGCGCUUAAAGAAAGCCUCCUCACUCUUGCAAUGCUUUCAACAUAGAAUAUAUAUGACCAUCUAAUUCCAAGAAUCUGAAAGUAACAUAGAACAUAAUUAAAGCAGACUCCAUCAACAAUCAAAACAGUCAAAGUUAAAGUGGAAAAUGUAGAGAUAGAGAGACUUAAAUCCUUAACCACCUUUUGAGUUUGCAACUCUGCGCCAUCAUAUUAUUAAAUUAACAAGAGGAAGCUACUGACCUAUAACUGUAUUGUUGUACUAGUAAAUUAACAAGAGGAACCUAAUGAUCUAUUAAGAAGUUGGAAAAGAACAUUGAGGUAUGGGACACUUGCAGAUGAAGGACAUAAAACCUUGAAGAUGAAAGCAAUUGCGCAAAGAGGUAUACAAGUUUCAGGUCCAUUGCACAAAAUCUGCAGAGAGUACAAAUAACAGAACCAACAAAGCAAAAGGGUAAGAGGAGAAAAAGCCAGGACUUCACCAGUAGUUUAUAGAGAGAGUGUCGUGUAUAAGGUAUAUGAAAUACCACAUGAGGUCUGAUCUUUAUCAUUAGCCACAAUGCAUGAGCCAAAGCGAUUAAGGUGGUUCCAACAGAGGUU
rnacentral:lncRNA from 1 species